AUGGCCGACGAGCCCCUCGACGCGUCGCCGGCGCCCGCGGCCCCCGCCGCGGCGUCGGACUCCGCCCCCGCCCCCUCCCCCGCGCCGGCCGCAGCCCCCGCAGCCGCGCCCGCGGCGACCGCGUCCCUGGUCCUCCGGCCGCGGCGGGAGUCGUUCGAGCACGGGCUCCUGCCGAUCCCCAAGCUGGUCUUCCCGGAGGGCACGCUCACGCAAACCCUAGCGCAGCUCAAGGCGAAGCUCGCGGCGCCGGGGCCCGGGCGCGUGGGCGCCGCGGCGCUCGCGGAGGCGCUGCAGAUCCCCGCCGACCAGGCCGCGCUCGCGCUCGCGACGCUCGCCGCGGUGCUCCCCGGCGACGACGACGGCCCCGCCGCGGACGGCGCGUGGGAGGCCGACCUCCGCGACGUGCUCCUCUUCCUCUACAUCCAGUCCUACAAGCGCCUCGUGCCGCGCGCCCACAAGGACUCGCCGUCCGUCGCCGACAUCUGGCCAUCCACCUCCGCCUUCGACGGCUACCUCUCCGCGCUCUCCCCGAUCCAGCUUGUACGCAGUAAUAGCCGUCGGUUUAUGCCUUCGCAAGCAGAUGAAGAAGCUCAUCAGUUAUCUUAUUUACAAAAGCAUAUGGCCAAUGUUUUAACUCUUUUGGCAGAUUCUGUUGAUGGAGAGGGUGAUGAAUCUAUGGUACUGACAAUGGAGACUUUUGAGCACCUUGGAUUCUUGUUGCAGUUCUCCGAAGGAACUCCUUUAAGCCAAGCUGCUCCAUUUUUUGCGAAUUCUGAUCUAGACAUGCCUGCUGCUCCUGUUCCGGCUACUCAAGUUCAUGACUGGAUUCUGCAGAAUAUAGCUUCUUCCUUGGAAUAUACUGCAGAAAAAGCUAUAACCAAGGAAAACAAUCAACGGAGUGUAUCUGAUCCUGAUGUGGCAAUGGCUGAUGCUGUCACAAAUACAAGAAUCCAGAGCAGCUCAUCAACUGGUGCUUCUGUGCAAAACAAUCCUGGAUACUACCGAAAUACAUCUUUUGUGGAGGGUAUCUCCAAAACUUCUGUUGUCAAACACGGGUCUGAUAUUAAAGGGCAUUCAAUAAAGGUUUUGAACUGCCAUGAUUCUGUUAUCUACAUCCUAGCCCCUCUCAAAUAUGCUACGGUGUAUGGAUGUUCGGACACAACUGUUGUUCUUGGUGCUAUUGGCAAGGUGGUAAAAGUUGAGCAUUGUGAACGUGUGCAAAUAGUUGCGGCUUCUAAAAGAAUUUUUAUUGCCAAUUGUCGAGAAUGUAUCUUCUACUUGGGAGUAAAUCACCAACCACUUAUUGUGGGGGACAACCAUAAAUUACAAGUUGCUCCAUUUAAUACUUAUUAUCCACAACUUGGGGAGCAUUUGGCACAAGUUGGUGUGGACCCUAACGUCAACAAGUGGGAUCAACCUUUUGUGCUGGGAGUUGUUGAUCCACAUGAUUCAUUAUCUCAUCCUGCAGGGGUUUCUGAUGUCCAAGCCGAGUCUGCCACUUGUCUAGAUCCUGAUCUAUUCACAGACUUCAUGAUUCCUAGUUGGUUUGAGGCAGAAGGUCCUACCAAAUACAAUCCAUUUACGUUACCUGAAGUUUACUGGGCAUCACAGAGGAAAAAGAAUGCUUCUCUGGAAGACAUUCAAAAGAAUAUACGAGAGCUGGAGCUUGAUGAUAACCGGAAAAAAGAAUUGGCAUGUGCCCUUCAUGCUCAAUUCAAGGACUGGCUAUAUGGUGUUUUAAAUCUUGUGUCCAGCUUCAGGAAAUAUCCGCCAGCUUUACUGUUUGCAAGGCGAAUAAGCAUAUAUGAUCUUCAUCCGUAA
rnacentral:rRNA from 1 species